AAGACCUUGCGCUUUUGGAGCGGCCGAUGUCUGAUUAGCUUGUUGGUGAGGUAAAAGCUUACCAAGGCUUCGAUCAGUAGCUGGUCUGAGAGGACGACCAGCCACACUGGGACUGAGACACGGCCCAGACUCCUACGGGAGGCAGCAGUGGGGAAUUUUGGACAAUGGGGGCAACCCUGAUCCAGCCAUGCCGCGUGAGUGAAGAAGGCCUUCGGGUUGUAAAGCUCUUUCAGCCGGAACGAAACGGUUACGGUUAAUACCCGUGACUACUGACGGUACCGGAAGAAGAAGCACCGGCUAACUACGUGCCAGCAGCCGCGGUAAUACGUAGGGUGCGAGCGUUAAUCGGAAUUACCGGGCGUAAAGCGUGCGCAGGUGGUUUUGUAAGUCAGAUGUGAAAUCCCCGGGCUCAACCUGGGAACU
rnacentral:rRNA from 1 species